AGGAGACGCACUUCAGGGGUCAGGUCUCCCCAAAGGUUGAGAAUGGCCGGUUUCCACUAGGGUACUACGCCAACCACCCAGAGUCUAAGAAAACGGGAGUGGCGAUUCUGUUCUCCCGAACAGUUCCGUUCCAACAUAUUGACACUAUGAAGGACCCGGACGGGAGGUUUCUCUUCUUGAAGGGUACCAUUGCACAUCACACCUACACCUUUGCAUGUG